GGUUGGACGAGAUAUAAUCUGUUUCAUUUAAAAUUUAGUUAGAAUUUUAUUUUUUAGUUAAAAAGCUAAAAUAUAUUCAAAAGACGAGAAGACCCUAUAAAUCUUGAUUAUUUAGUAAUUUUUAGUUUAUUUUGAUUUUUUUUAUUAUAAAUUUAUUAAUUAAUUUUAUUGGGGUGAUAUUAAAAUUUAAAUAACUUUUAAUAAUUUUUAUCAUUUAUUUAUGAUUAAGUGAUCCAUUAUUAGUGAUUAGAAAAUUAAGUUACUUUAGGGAUAACAGCGUAAUUUUUUUGGAGAGUUCUUAUCGAUAAAAAAGUUUGCGACCUCGAUGUUGGAUUAAGAUUCAUAUUUAAAUGUAGAAGUUUAAAUAUAAAGUCUGUUCGACUUUUUAUUCUUACAUGAUCUGAGUUCAAACCGGUGUAAGCCAGGUUGGUUUCUAUCUUUGAUUUGGUAAAAUAUUUUAGUACGAAAGGAAUUAAUAUUUAU
rnacentral:rRNA from 1 species